ensembl:lncRNA
ACAUCCUUCGGACGGUCAAAUUUUGAACAAUGGACAUAAUGUAUUAAAUUAUGCUUUUAACCAAGAGACUAGUGCGAGUAGUACUACUGGUAUUACAAAGGUUAAAACUAGCGAUUUAGAUGAUGCAUAUGUUAACACGAAAGAAAUAAACACGAAAGAAAUAAACACGAAAGAAAUAAACACGAAAGAAAUAAACGCGGAAGAAAUAAACGCGGAAGAAAUAAACGCGGAAGAAAUAAACGCGAAAGAAAUAAACGCGAAAGAAAUAAACGCGAAAGAAAUAAACGCGAAAGAAAUAAACGCGAAAGAAACAAAAACGAAAGAAACAAAAACGAAAGAAACAAAAACGAAAGAAACAAAAACGAAAGAAACAAAAACGAAAGAAACAAAAACGAAAAAAAAAAAAAAAACUAUGCUAAUCAAGCCACACGAAUUUGUCAAGAUAAUAUGUCUUCCUUUUUUAAACGAACUGAACCAAGAUUUUGUUAUCAAAAUUGUAGAAACAGAAUUGUUUCAAACAACAAAUGACACAACAAACGACAAGGAAGCUCACAAUAAUGAACUGACACAACAUAUUAGUGACAACACAAAUAAUAAUAGUGUAUAUGAAUAUAUAUAUAUAAAACAUUACUUACCUUUUUUAAACAAACCUAAUAUGUAUAUAAACCAAAUAAACAAAAAAUAUGAUAAUGUAAUGAAAGAACACAUUAUAAAUUAUUUUAUUUUUUUUACUCACGUAAAUGAAUUAAAUAUAAACGAACUAUGUACAUUAAUUAACAUCAUAAAUAAAAUAAAUAAGUCUUAUCCAUUUUUAGAUUUUUUUAUUGCUAAGCGAGUAGAACACAUUUUACAAUCAAAGUGGAAAACAAACAAUAUCGUAGAACAACAGCAAAUAGAAAGUAAUGAAAGUAUAAUAAAAACAAACACAAAUGAAAACGUAAUAGAUGGUAAUACUAUGUAUAAUGAAAAUUAUAUUUUUUCUGAUACUUAUCUAGAUGAUUAUAUAACAAAUAUAAAAGAAAAAAACCAGAUGAACCAAACUGAAGUACUACAAGAAUCAAAACAAACAGUACUACCAAUUGCUAAUUCUAUAUCUAAACAUUAUGAAUUACUAUACCAAAUAAAUCCAAAUAAAAAACAUUUUAAAAAUGUAAAUUUAAACACACAUACUAUAUAUACGUCAAAUUUUGAGGAAUAUACAAAUGAUGAUACUGAUAUAAAUACUAACAUAGUUAAUCUAUUCUUAUCAUUAAAUUCUUCUACGUCUACAGGUACAUACACUACUUUAUUAACAAAACAAUGUAUUGAAAAUUACUUGACAUGUAUAGACAUAAACAAAAUCAACUUAUUUGAAUUCGAUUUUACGAAUUUAUUUUUACAAGUUAAUAAUUUAAUUAGAAAUAAUGAUAUAUCCAACGAACUCAGAAUAAAAGAAAACAGCCAAAUGGAUGGUAUGAGUUUAUAUAACACAGCUACAGCUGAUGAAAGUAAUAUAAACAGUAGCAUAAUACAGGAGUUUUUGUUGCACGUGGGUGCAAAUAAACAUUAUGUUGGCGAUUGUAGCAAUAGUAACAGCAGUAGUAACAGCAGUAGUAACAGCAGUAGUAACAGCAGUAGCAACAGUAGUAACAGCAGUAGCAACAGUAGUAACACAAAUAACAACAGUAGUAACACAAAUAACAACAGUAACAACACAAAUAACAACAGUAGCAACACCAGUAGAGACGCUCGUGCCUAUUCACUAGACCUAAUAAACCACGAUAUAACCUACAAAAUCAUAGAAAAACGAUUACAAUAUAACAUAAAUUUAAAAAAUUUUUUAUUAAACAAAGGAAAUGAUAUUAUAACAGAAGAAGUCAGAACAUUUUUAGAAAACGAUAUAAUGUCAUUAAGUUCAAUAAAAAGUAUUUUAUAUUAUGUAAGCACUAUAAAUGAUGAUGUAAAAUAUAUUAAUUUAUUAAAUUUAUGUUUAAAAAAUAUAAUUCUAUUUAAAAAUGAAACAAAUGAUAUCAAUACAUUUCGGCUAUUAACUAGAUUCUUGUUAGAUAUAAAAAAUAUAUACCAAAC